UACGAAGGGGGCUAGCGUUGCUCGGAAUUACUGGGCGUAAAGCGCACGUAGGCGGCUCUUUAAGUCGGGGGUGAAAUCCUGGAGCUCAACUCCAGAACUGCCUUCGAUACUGGAGAGCUUGAGUUCGGGAGAGGUGAGUGGAACUGCGAGUGUAGAGGUGAAAUUCGUAGAUAUUCGGAAGAACACCAGUGGCGAAGGCGACUUACUGGACACAUAUUGACGCUGAGGUGCGAAAGCGUGGGGAGCAAACAGG
rnacentral:rRNA from 1 species